rnacentral:rRNA from 1 species
GUAGUAAGCAGGGGACUCUAGCGAAACUGCCACCGUAAGGUGAGAGGAAGUGGGGAUGACGUCAAAUCAGCACGGCCCUUAUGUCCAGGGCUACACACGUGCUACAAUGGUUGGUACAACGAGUUGCGAGUCGGUGACGGCGAGCUAAUCUCUUAAAGCCAAUCUCAGUUCGGAUUGUAGGCUGCAACUCGCCUACAUGAAGUCGGAAUCGCUAGUAAUCGUGGAUCAGCAUGUCACGGUGAAUACGUUCCCGGGUCUU